AUUGAACGCUGGCGGCAUGCUUUACACAUGCAAGUCGAACGGUAACAGGUUAAGCUGACGAGUGGCGAACGGGUGAGUAAUGCAUCGGAACGUGCCAGAUCGUGGGGGAUAACGCAGCGAAAGCUGCGCCAAUACCGCAUACGAUCUGAGGGUGAAAGCGGGGGACCGUAAGGCCUCGCGCGAUCGGAGCGGCCGAUGUCAGAUUAGGCAGUUGGGGGGGUAAAGGCCCACCAAGCCGACGAUCUGUAGCUGGUCUGAGAGGACGACCAGCCACACUGGGACUGAGACACGGCCCAGACUCCUACGGGAGGCAGCAGUGUAGAACUUUGGACAAUGGGCGAAAGCCUGAUCCAGCAAUGCCGCGUGCAGGAAGAAGGCCUUCUGGUUGUAAACUGCUUUUGUUCGGAGCGAAAAGGCUCUCUCUAAUACAGGGGGCUCAUGACGGUACCGUAAGAAUAAGCACCGGCUAACUACGUGCCAGCAGCCGCAGUAA
rnacentral:rRNA from 1 species